rnacentral:rRNA from 1 species
UAUUAGAAAGAAUACCAAUUGCGAAGGCAGCUUUCUGGAUCAUUACUGACACUGAGGAACGAAAGCAUGGGUAGCGAAGAGGAUUAGAUACCCUCGUAGUCCAUGCCGUAAACGAUGUGUGUUAGACGUUGGAAAUUUAUUUUCAGUGUCGCAGCGAAAGCGAUAAACACACCGCCUGGGGAGUACGACCGCAAGGUUAAAACUCAAAUGAAUUGACGGGGACCCGCACAAGUAGUGGAGCAUGUGGUUUAAUUCGAAGAUACGCGCAGAACCUUACCAACACUUGACAUGUUCGUCGCGACUCUAAGAGAUUAGAGUUUUCGGUUCGGCCGGACGAAACACAGGUGCUGCAUGGCUGUCGUCAGCUCGUGUCGUGAGAUGUUGGGUUAAGUCCCGCAACGAGCGCAACCCUCACUUUUAGUUGCCAUCAUUAAGUUGGGCACUCUGAAAGAACUGCCAGUGAUAAGCUGGAGGAAGGUGGGGAUGACGUCAAGUCCUCAUGGCCCUUACGUGUUGGGCUACACACGUGCUACAAUGGUAUCUACAACAGGAAGCAAGACUGCGAAGUUUAGCAAAUCCUUAAAAGAUACCUCAGUUCGGAUUGCACUCUGCAACUCGAGUGCAUGAAGCUGGAAUUACUAGUAAUCGUGGAUCAGCGUGCCACGGUGAAUGCGUUCCCGGGCCUUGUACACACCGCCCA